UAAGGCACUUUAGCAGCCAAGA
rnacentral:miRNA from 1 species